rnacentral:rRNA from 1 species
AUGAACGCUGGCGGCAUGCCUCACCCAUGCAAGUCGAUCGGUAAGGCUCUUCGGAGUACACGAGAGGCGGACGGCUGAGUAACGCGUAGGAACACACCCUGCAGUUAGGGAUAAGACACCGAAAGGUGUUCUAAUACCGCAUACGGUCUUCGGAUUAAAGCAUUUAUGCGCUGAAGGAGUGGCCUGCGUCAUAUUAGAUAGUUGGUGAGGUAAUGGCUCACCAAGUCGAUGAUGUGUAGCUGGUCUGAGAGGAUGAUCAGCCAGACUGGAACUGAGACACGGUCCAGACUCCUACGGGAGGCAGCAGUGAGGAAUAUUUCACAAUGAGCGAAAGCUUGAUGGAGCAAUGCCGCGUGCAGGAUGAAGGCCCUCGGGUUGUAAACUGCUUUUAUAAGAGAAGAUUAUGACGGUAACUUAUGAAUAAGGGACGGCUAACUACGUG